CUUAUUUUUACCUGCACCUGCGGCUGGGCACGUUCCAGAGGGAGACGGGUAGAAGUAGAGCAAGCACCGGAAGGGCUUGAAUAGAAAUCGCGUGCUGCUUCAGGGGCCUGGUGGGCCAUAAAAGCCUAGCAGAAUGGACGCUGGCCACUUUGUCCUACAACAUUUUAGACAAGAGCAGGUAAGACACCACAUUCACAGCAUUCACAUCGAAGACCUUCAGGGAAACUGUCAAACUGCUGUGCAUCACUCACCUAAGAAACAUUCAUCUGCUACCCGCAGACGGAAGGACUGGAUGAGUGCUUUAACCAGAUGCUCAAACAGAUGUUGAGGGUGGUGUGAGCAGACUGCCGAGACAGGGACUAACUCCAACCACUCGUUUUGUUUGCCUUCAGGAAAGUACUGCAGGCUUUGACAGGUUUCUCCCCAUUUGAGCUCCUUUAUGGGAGGCAACGCUGGGCAGUUUGAUCUAAUCCAGGAAGGGUGGAAGGAGGAAGCAAUGUCCUCCUCCUGUAAUAUUAUUGAGUACAUCGCAGACUUAUGUAUCCACUUCAAGAAACUGUAGCCCCUGGAGUGAGAACAUUUGGAGAGAACACAGUGUUCACAGUCUCAGCUGUAUAAUCGGAACUCUCCUCUUUGCAUGUUCUUCCCAGGGGACACGGUGAUUGUUCUCGUCUCUUUAUUCCAUUCUAAGCUCCUUACUUAUUGGCAAGGGUCAUAUGAGAUAUGGGAGAGAAAGGGGUUUUUUAAGCACUUUGACCUACUUUUUGUAUGAAAAUGUGCUAUAUAAAUAAAUGUUGUUGUUGUUUUCAACUGUUUAGUAUAACAACUUAAUUGGUAUUCGAAUGAACAUGCCUAUCACAAACAUCUCCUUAAACCAUGGCACAACCGUAGUCCCCUGCAGAAGAAGGAAUUGGGUGCCUCCAUCACCUCUGUUACUGGGGUCAUGGACCAUAAGUCAGGGAGAAACAUCCACAAUAUCAUUACCCCGCAGGGGUUGUAGUUCAGGAAUACCAUUAUCUGCUCCCAGAGGCAAAGAAGACUGAGGUGGAAUUGGAGAUCAGCUUUUCUUGAACCUCUGGGUCAUCAACGAGAGCCACCGCCCUGGUUGAGCUGUGUUGAGCCAAGUUUUUGAUGUAGCUGAACAAUAUGCCUCAACUGGAAACUGCUGGACUGUAAGACAAGAUAUAUAGCACAGGAGCAGGGGACCCUCACCAUAAACUGGGUGAACACCCAACUCCGAUAUUGUCUUUUGGGGAGUUCUCACUAGUGAUCUUCCAGUAGUGUUUAUAGAUACUCCAACACACCGGUCACCUAGUGAUUUCUUUGCCUGCAACUCUUAGCCCUUCACACCAAUGCUGACACCCUCUCCUUGGCUCAUAACCUCACAGUAAAGUCCGCUGGGACUAAGAGAGAGUUUGUGUCACACAUGCGUGCCAAAGGAUCACUCACCUGUGUGGAGUAGUAUGUAGUACCACUCUGGGAAGAGGGGGGCGGUGUCACUAACAGUCUUUUCCUCUCACAGUAGCAAGAAGAUGUCCAAUGAGGGCAACUGAGCCAGAAAAGCCCCGCCCCUUCUGGUUCAGGUUUUAUAAAAGAGAAAUGUGGAGUUGUAAUUUAGACCAGAGUAGCCAAGAGGCUGGAGCUUUCCAAAAGCAUGACGCAUUCAAUUUGAGACACCACACUAUGGCAAAUACUGAGGCGAUUGCCUGAAAUCCUAAAUUAUAUCAGCACCAUGCGCUUGUUUAUUUUAUUUGCAACAAUUGCCUGCAUGAAAUGGGAUGGCCUGGUUGGUGCCCCAACUUAUUUUGGGACUCUUUCCAAUUCUGUCACUCAGACCACAACAGGUAAAAAUACAUCUUAAUCUUUGCUAGUUUAGAGAAACAUUCUAAGAAGCAUUUGAAAACGUAUUACUUUAUUUAAUAAUCCUUAACAAGACUAUAAAACUUUUAAAAAAGAAUAAGCAAACAAACACACUUAAAUAUGUAAAGGCUGCCAUGUGAAAAAGUUAAGUUACAUAUGUUUAAAUUGUCAUUUCAUCAUUCUUUGUUAACUAUUUUUAGUAAAAGUUAUUAAAGUUCA